rnacentral:tRNA from 1 species
GCGCAAGUGGUUUAGUGGUAAAAUCCAACGUUGCCAUCGUAGGCCCCCCGGUUCAAUUCCCAGCUCGCCCU